rnacentral:rRNA from 1 species
CUCCCAAACCCCUGUGAACAUACCACUUGUUGCCUCGGCGGAUCAGCCCGCUCCCGGUAAAACGGGACGGCCCGCCAGAGGACCCCUAAACUCUGUUUCUAUAUGUAACUUCUGAGUAAAACCAUAAAUAAAUCAAAACUUUCAACAACGGAUCUCUUGGUUCUGGCAUCGAUGAAGAACGCAGCAAAAUGCGAUAAGUAAUGUGAAUUGCAGAAUUCAGUGAAUCAUCGAAUCUUUGAACGCACAUUGCGCCCGCCAGUAUUCUGGCGGGCAUGCCUGUUCGAGCGUCAUUUCAACCCUCAAGCACAGCUUGGUGUUGGGACUCGCGUUAAUUCGCGUUCCUCAAAUUGAUUGGCGGUCACGUCGAGCUUCCAUAGCGUGUAGUAAAACCCUCGUUACUGGUAAUCGUCGCGGCCACGCCGUUAAACCCCAACUUCUGAAUGUUGACCUCGGAUCAGGUAGGAAUACCCGCUGAACUUAAGCAUAUCAAUAAUGCUGAGGAACGCU